ACCAGUUCCGAUGACAAGACGCUGUCAA
rnacentral:sRNA from 1 species